rnacentral:rRNA from 1 species
GACGAACGCUGGCGGCGUGCUUAACACAUGCAAGUCGAACGGACUACUUUGCUUCGGUAAGGUGGUUAGUGGCGAACGGGUGAGUAACGCGUAGACAACCUACCUCUUAGAUGGGGACAACAUCGCGAAAGCGGUGCUAAUACCGAAUGAAGUGACUUUCCUGCAUGGGAGAGAUACUAAAGGUGGCCUCUAUUUAUAAGCUACCACUGAGAGCUGGGUCUGCGUCUGAUUAGCUAGUUGGCGGGGUAACGGCCCACCAAGGCGACGAUCAGUAGCCGGUAUGAGAGGAUGAACGGCCACAUUGGGACUGAGACACGGCCCAAACUCCUACGGGAGGCAGCAGUGGGGAAUCUUCCGCAAUGGACGAAAGUCUGACGGAGCAACGCCGCGUGAGUGAAGAAGGUUUUCGGAUCGUAAAGCUCUGUUGUUUGAGGCGAAUGUGCCUGUUUCGAAUAGGGAUAGGUAAUGACGGUAUUAAACGAGAAAGCCACGGCUAACUACGUGCCAGCCGCCGCGGUAA